AUUUUGCCGUCGUCAACGAGGACAGGGUUUUCGCAGAGAGUGAGGUAAAGCUUCUUCUUGGAGGAGGAGAAGGUGGAGGAGGAGGAGGAGUGAGAUAGGAUCAGUGGCGGAUCUACAGAGGGACCUGGGAGGUCCCAGAACCCUUCGGCGACCCUAAAUCGCUGCUAGAAAAUUUUCGGGGACCCCUCGUACUCGAACACAAGGUCUGUGCAAUGUGUUUUGUAAUUUCUGGGUUGGUAGGUUCUGUUCUUGCGAGAGGAAGAAGAUGAUUAAAUGAGUUUCUCUCUCAUCCUUUCAUUCCCACGUGACCACCCUCAAACUUUCCCAUUUUAUUGAUUUUUUAAUUGGUCCAAUCACAUUCCGAUAGCUAGCAUCAACUUGAUCUUUCCAAAAUAUGAAAAUGGGUUGUCGGUCCCUAGGUGUAUAUUUUUGUUAAUUGGUGUGGCUCCCCUCCUUACGCGUCUAGUGCUUCAUUUUGCUUUCUACACCCACAUAUUUAACACACUUAUAUUUAUCUUAAAAUUCAAUAUAAAUCAAUAUGAUCUUUAAAAAUAUUAUGUAAAUUACUAUGAACUUGUAAUUAUUUGAACUUUUAUCUUAUACCUUAAAUUCACCAAAAUACUAGGUAUAUAAUAAAUUUAUUUAAAUUCACUUAGACCGCGCACGGAGAAGAAAGAAAAUAGGACCCUUUUUAACAAUUGGUAUAUUUUUUCUAUUUUUUUUUUGUUAAAUGUGUAGUUUAGAAAUAAAAAAAUGUGGAGAGAUUUUUCAAGUCAAAGCUGAUAGCACCAUCUAUUUGGUCAUUGAGAAAGAUGGUUGAGUGAUGUUUUUUCAUGUAUUGGUAAUGAAGCUAUCAUAGAAUAUUUUCAGACUAUGAAACCCCGUCGUGGACGCUCAAAUUAGGAUUUUAUAGCUUGUAAUGUUGUUUUGCGUAUGAUUUUUGAAUGAAAUGUAUUAUAUUUAACUUUUCAAUGUUAAUUUUGUCUAUAAAUGUUUUUACCUUUAUUAAUGGGACCCCCCAAACUUAAAAUCCUGGAUCCGCCACUGCCCGUGGGUAUCCCUCUUCAUGGCCCUUCCUUGCUUUGUUCAGCCAUGGUUUCUGUUGAGUUCGUGUGUAGAGUUCUGGUGUUAUAUCUGGCUCAGGUGUCUCCCACACCACCACGAUCUCCUUGUUGUCUGCCGUUCUCGGCGGUGUUGUUCGGGAUUUUCCCGGAGCUUCUUUCUGAUGGUUGGCUUCUCUCUCGCCGACUAUCUCUUGUUAAUGGUUAUGUGCAGGUGGCGCCUGUGGAGGUGAUGAUCAGCGGUGGAUGGAGGAUUGGAUGGCUGGCUGAUUCUCGGGUCGAUGGUGGAGAGCACAGUGGAUGGUUCUCGGUUGUUUGUUUGGGCUUCACUGUUGUUGGGCUCAUUUUCUUUGUUUUCUUUGUUUUUAGGCCCGUUCUUUAUUUGUUUGUAGGAAUAAUUGGACCUUUGUGUGGUUUGUAAGUGUGUGUUUGUUUUAAUAAAAGUUCCUCGCAACUUAAAAAAAAAAAAAAAAAACAGAAUCUUAAUUAGAAUAUGGAUGAAAAUUAUUAACAGACCUGGAUUCAGGCAGACGAAUCCAUUCCCAAUAUUGAGGAGUAUCGCCCCAAGUAAUCUUAAGCUUCCUUGCAGAUAUCAUAUAGCCCUUUUUCCCACUCCAUUUGUCCACUGAAAAGCUCUGCAAUUAAUAUUGAAUAUGCAUGACAUCAAUUAUAAUUAAAUACAUGAAUAAAAAUUAAUCACAAUAAGUUAAUAACAAAAACGAAGGCAUAUAGUUAAUAUGACGUUACCAUCUUCCCCUAAUCGAUGAGGACCGGGUUGUCACAUAGAGAGAGAGAGAAAAAGCUCCUUCUUGGAUUUCCAACUGGAAGAAGAAGAAGAGCAAGUCGGGACUGGGAGGGAGGAGGGAGACUGAGGUUGUACGGAGCACUUGCCGAGGAUCGUGUAGACAUCAGGCGGAAGGAACCUGUCCCAAACGGCGUCCAAAUCAGCGGCCGACCGGAAACCCCUAGACACCGCUGAAAGCCUGCACGCGUCAGGAGGCGUCGUUAAGGAGGCCACGGUGGCUUUGCAUCCUUCUGGCAACGCCACCAGAUCCAUCGCCGGCGUUCCUGUAGUUUGUCUUUGUAUAUUGUAUUGCGUUUUGGUGUUUGUAAACUUGUGUAAUAUUGUUUGGGCACAAAUUUACACCAUCAAAGUGAGCAUAACUUUCAACUGUUGGAUAGAAAAGUAAAGAUAGUUUUGUUGUUGUUAAAAGAUAAUAUUAUGGUUUUUAUCAUAAUAAUUAUCUUUUAACUAUCUUGACAAAUGCGAAUUAUAUCUCUAAGCAAGGGGUACAGUUCAAAUUAAGUUGGGAUGUGUGUGGACGUGUGGAGUAGUCAAAGUAAAGUGAUGUGAUGGGAUCAAGGUGCCAGCCAUGAUUUUUUAUGCAUGCAUGUGAUGAUUUCAUUAAAUGCCGUGCAAAAGUUGGAAAUGGUUUGGAUGGAUAAAGAUGGCAUGAAAAAGGGUUUAUUUUGAUGGUCUCGACGUGGAAAGCAAAUGACCACCAAAUGGCAUGUAUCCUUGGAUUUUGGCAGGUUUUUUACCGAGUCUUGUGGAAGUGAAUGGCUAGGCUUGCAUGUUAAUUAUCAGCAUGCUUUGGUUCCAGAGCCGUGGAGGUCAUUAUGCAUGUUAAUUAUUUGCAUAAAAUAAGGAGAUAAUGAUAACAUCUAAAAGAAAGGCUGUUGCUUACCUUGAGAAGUGUUUGACUGGGACUCUGGUUGAUGAGUGUGAAUUGAAAUCAAAUCCUACACUAGUGUGAAGCCGCACCACACAUUUGCGUCUAUAAAUACAAGGUUGCGAACACCAUUGAAGCCCCUCUAAUUCAACACACAAUUGCCCUGUGCAAACUUUCUCAACAACCUUGAGAUUUUUACUUUUUCCUUUUCGCCGACACAUCUUUCGUUGGUAUCAAUAGCACUGUGAAGGCAACCAGUGAUAUCCUCAGUCGACAUAAGAUAGCUCUGUCACCGUAGAAUCAGCUAAUCUCGCAGCAUCUUCCGUUGGUAUCAACAGCACUGCGGCGAGGACAGUUGGUUACCUAUCCAAGUCUCGGUCGAGAAGGAUUUCCGAAUCCUUGUUGGUCGAGGUCAUCUCAUUAGCCUUCUCAGCGAAGUGAGGUGUUACAGUUUACCGAGCUCGGCGCAUUGCACGCCGAGUUAUUUUAUGAUUGGAUACUCUCAAGUGGGAUUUAGAGUUCGGCAUUCUGACAGUCGAACCACGUUCACCAUUAAGACUUAUAUCCACUUUGAGUAUUUGUGCCCUUACACUUUGGUGUCGAUUCGGCGUGGGUUUACUCUGACAAAUACCAUCACUGUGACCGAGUUCGACGACGACGAUUCGUGAACUUCAUGAGAAUAGCAACCUUGUCUUCAGGCUGCAUAAGUCAGUAGCGCGACCCAAUGCAACAUUAGCAAAUUUUACUUCUCGGCCGAGCUCGGCCGACGAGUUGGCACGCCCCGCACACAACCGAAUGACGUAGUUAGCUCAUAGAUUACUCGGCCUGCGCGCCACGUACGUAGGCUUGGUAGUUUUUAGGGUCAACAAAUAUAUGCAUGGAUUUCCUAGAUGAAGUCUUAGGGGUUAAGUUUAGGGUUGUUUUAUAACGCAUCAAGGUAUAUGGUAUGCACCAGGUUUAUAGAAACGUUAAAUUCGUUGGGUUCUUGGACCAAAUACAAAAAGAAAAGAUCUUGACCUAUUCUCUGGGGAUGCAUAAAAAUAUAGAAUGGUUUUAAAUUUUGAGUAUCAGCCUAAUUAUUUCUCUUAGAUUAGUAAUACAUUAUUCAGCCUAUAUUCAAUGCACAUAUAAAAGGUUAUUUUUUCGAAAGACCUAUUUGUCGAUUUAUCCUCCGAACUUGUAUACACCUACCAAUUUCCCUUAUGAAUUUUAAUUUAGCUGAUUAUACCUGAACUUUUAUAAAUAGAUUUUGAAAAUUUUCAACUAAUCUUCCAUUCAUCUUGAUCACGCGAACAUCACAUGGCAAAUAUAUGAUGGGGAAAGGAUAAUUUUGUUUUGGUAAAUUGGGCACAAAGUUAGUACUUUGCCGUUGCAAAUUAGAUUCCUAUGGCUAAUUCAAACAUAAAGUAUACGGAGUCAACUAGCAAAAGAGAACAUUAGGGUAAUAUUACUUGAUUACCCUUAAACAUUUUUCAUCAGACUAAAAUGGGUAGGAAAUUGAAUGAAUUUUUUAAAAUCUAAUGUCAGAAAGGAAAUUGACUAAUUAUAAAAGUUUAGAAGGGUAAUCAACUAAAAUUAAAAUUUAGAGAGAAAAUUAGCAACUGCUUAAAGUUCUAGGAGAAAAUCGACAGAUAACUCUUUUCAAAAAAAGAGAAAAGGUUAUUGGGUUUCCUUUUUCCUUUUCAUUUCAAAUUUUUUACUUUAAUAAAUCAUCAGUACUAUCUAGUAUCUAGUAUAUAUUCUUUUAAGUUAGAAAUCUCAAAUUCAACUUAUCUUGUUAACAAAUUUAAUGUAAUAACACCGACGGUGAUAGACCCACGUUAGGAUAAAAAGUGGCCAUUCCCUCCCCUCCAAGGGCCCAUGCAAUAUUUCUAGCCAAAUACCUCCAUUACCCACCACCCCCCACAAAAAAGGGAAAGAAAAAAGAAGAAAAGAAAUCAGUCUAAUUGGUUCCAAAUCGAGCACUUAAACUCGGUUUGAUUUGCGACGCCACGCCAGAUGACCUUGUGCACCAUGAACUUGGCCUAGAAGAGAAUGCACGUAUUCUUAGGUGAAAAAACUAUACGUGUGAUAACACAUCUCCCAAUCUCUCCAUUCAUCAAAUAAGUUUAUAACGUUUUACAACAAGUAUUCAAAGGUGAAGGGAAUCAUUAAAUAAUUAUUCAAGAGGACUGUAAUCACCGUUGAUGAUCAGGGUUCAACCCAUGUCAAAGUUAAAGAAUCAAAAGGGUGCGGUUGUCGCGGUGUGACCAGAGAAAUUGGUGUCCGGUAAGAGACAGAGAAGCAAGACUACACUUUGGCAAUCAAGUACAAGAGCUCCGAGGAAGAAGCCAUCUCAUUUGGUGCAAUUGUUUGGGAAGAAGAGAGUGAAAAUUUUACUAUGAGGAGCCCUAUUGUGAUCUCGGGUAGCCCUAUUGUGAUCGUUGUGUAAGAACACGUUAGCUGGCAUUUCGGGAAGUUUGGUACGACUUCAAUUCAAUCCAUGUAGUUCAAAGAUGAGCAAUUGCAACCAUUUUAUCAACAAAAUUAUAAUACAAUGAGCCUUUUUGUUUCUCUUACUAGUAAUUUUCCUAAUAUGUAACAUCGACAAUGCACCUAUUACAUGUAAGUCCUUAGAAAAAGUUCAACUUUCUACACUCUUUUGGGCCUGACUUCAAUCCCUUGAACAAUAAGGCCUCUCUUCAUUCUAUGAAUGUCAAAAUCCCUACAUGUCAUCUCCAUUAACCCCCCAUUUUCUUCUCCUGGACAGAAGAACUCUCCAAUCUCCACCUCCAGCCAGCCGUCAGGCCUUUUCUUUCGGCUCCUUUCUUGGCCCAGAAACACAGUGCGCUUACUACUAGUCUCUUCUUUCCCAAAAAGUCCUAUCUUGACCUCCGAGGGAUCGUCACGAUCAAAUCCUCUAGCCCUUUCACUUAACAUGAACACAAGAUAAGCUUUGUAGACAGUGGAGGGGGAAAGAAUCCGUGUAUCAAUUUUGCCACGGAUGUCAAGCCACCAAACAACUACAAGCGCAGCCACCUCCUCAAACCUGUUUCAUUUAACAUGACACAUACUAAUUAAUUGCCUAAUUACACACAUACACACAUAUUUCAAUCUAUAUAUAUACAUCGCUAAAACAAAUCCAACCGCAGAAUAAGCACGAUAUGGAAAUGCAUUCUCAACAUCUUAAAAGCGUAGCUGUUAGCUUAAUCAAACCAACAAAACGUAAGAUGAAUGAAGAAGUUUACAGACCUGGAGUUGGCAAGAGAAAUCCAUUUCCAGUACUCAGGAUUAUCACCCCAAAUAAUAAUAAGGUCCUUCGGCGAUAUCAUGUAACAUUUUUUCCCACUCCAUUUGUCCAGAGUAAAACUCUGCAUAUAUAGAACAUGGAAACUGAUUGAGAAAGGUUACAAAAACUUAUUCUGGCUAGUUUUUCAUGCAUUAGUUCCAGCAGGCACCAUCUCAAAGUCGAAAGUCAUAUUUUCAUAUUAAUAUAUGAUGCUGUAUUCAAUUGAGAAUUUGAGAGACUUUAAAUUGAUUUUUAUAGAGUUUAAUUGAUUUAUAGAGAUUUCAUAGAAAAUUUUGAUUCAAUUUCCUCGAAAUCUCAUGGAGAGAGAUUAGAUUUGUGGAUGCUUAUAAUAUACUACAAAAUCUCUCCAAUUCCCUUUAAUUCCUCAAAUUUCUCAAAUUAUUUAAUAUCAAUUUCUAAUUGAAUACAAUGUUAUAAACUUUUUUAAAAUCAUAAUUGAAUACACUCAGAUUUAUAAAGAUUUUAAUAAAUUAUCUUAAAAUUCUAAUUGAAUACCCUUGAAUUAAAAUACUGAUUGAUUACCUAGAUUCAUUAAAAGAAUUAAAAUCCCUCAAACUCUGAAUUGAAUACACGCCCCAAAACUUUAUCAGAAAGUAGAGAGAAACAAAUAAAAUCUUCAAAUAUAUUCAUGUUUCAAAUUUUGGGAGCUAUCCCUAAUCCCACCACAAAAGCGAAAAAGAAUGUAUAAAAUUACCAUUUUUCCGUCGUCAACGAGGACAGGGUUUUCGCAGAGAGUGAGGUAAAGCUUCUUCUUGGAGGAGGAGAAGGUGGAGGAGGAGGAGGAGGAGUGAGAUAGGAUGGAGGGGAUAUCAGGGGGAAGGAACUUGUCCCAAACAGCGUCGGAAUCAGCAGCCGACAUGAAACUCUUAGACACCGCCGAAAACCUGCACGCGUCUCGAGGCGUCGUUAAGGAGACGACGUUAGCUAUGCAUCCUUCGGGCAACUCUUGCAGAUCCAUGUGAACGUGAUGGUGAUCGUCAUCGAGUACCAUCGACACCGGCGUCCCGCAGCCCCCGCUG
rnacentral:lncRNA from 1 species